UACGUAGGGUGCGAGCGUUGUCCGGAAUUAUUGGGCGUAAAGGGCUCGUAGGCGGUUUGUCGCGUCGAGAGUGAAAACCAGGUGCUUAACACCUGGCUUGCUUUCGAUACGGGCAGACUAGAGGUAUUCAGGGGAGAACGGAAUUCCUGGUGUAGCGGUGAAAUGCGCAGAUAUCAGGAGGAACACCGAUGGCGAAGGCAGGUCUCUGGGCCACUACUGACGCUGAGAAGCGAAAGCAUGGGGAGCGAACAGG
rnacentral:rRNA from 1 species